AUCAAAUGAAAAAAUAUUUAGACUCUAGAUAUGUGUCUUCAUAGGCACCUUCCUCGUAGGAAAGUGAGGGGGAAAACAGCUCCUGCUUAUCCAGAUGAGAUAGAGCCACAUUACGUUCGGUUGCAUCAUACAAUGCAAGCUGUGGGCUCCCCAGCACAAUGAUUACUUUCCCACUGUCCAGACAUCGCUGAGAUCAGAAGAGGCCCUUCCACACUCCAGCAGCAGCCUGGGAUCUCCAAUUGUUAUGGAUUGGUCAAAGAGGAAGCGUUUCUGUGACAAACUUAGGGUGGACAUCCUGGAGACGGCCAACCAGCAGGUGCAGGACCAAAGGGGAAAGAAGUCUCAGCACAUGGAAAGGCGGCAGAGCUGCAGCGUGGGAGGAGAGACUUCCCCUGGAGCAGGACUGCAGCAAAAAGACCUGUUUGAGGGGCUGCUUGCAGUAAUGGCCACAAGGCUUCUGCCCCCCGUUCUGAGUGCCCUCCAGGGUGCCAUGUCUUGCGGGCCAGGAAUGCAUUGGACAAUACCAUGGUCUGGUGGCCCGUGCAGCUUGGACAGGGUAAAUGUACUCCUGGCAGUCCUCACCCCCUCGCAGCCCUCCACGCACCUUCAGCAGCUCCAUAUAGGUGGUAGAAAGGAGGAGGAGAAAGGGGGCUCAGGGCCAUGCAAAGGCAUUGCAGAUUUUGGAGGCCAUAUCAGUUCUUGUGGUGCCCGACUGGCGAAGAGAAAUGUCAU